UGUGUCAUUGAGAAAAGGUAUCAAAACCAUGUAGAUUCCUCUUAUGCUAGCUGACUUUUAAUUGAGCUGCAACAUACACAUGAACUCAUUUUGCUGUGUCAUACAUGUAUAACAUCCUCAUCCUUGAUUCAUGCCUUUAUCUCAAAAGACCUUAAUGCGUAAAUAUUAUGCUUGAGUUGCAAUGCUAUACAUAAUUCACUUCUUGCAGCUUAUCUUAUUUUUGUCUCAAUUAAUUAAAAUGACAUUUGUAUGUUAUGGUGAUUGCUUUGCUGCAAGCAGUGAUUGAGAAAACCAAUCUGAAUCCCAAGGAAGUUGGGGAUAUUGUUGUCGGUACCGUGUUGGCUCCAGGUCUCAAAGAGCUAGCAAAUGCAGGAUAGCUGCUUCUAUAAGAGCUACAUCAGUUAUGACAUUGGUAUUGGAGCUGGGUAGGGGAUAUUAAU
rnacentral:lncRNA from 1 species